GGAGAGGUCGCAUAGUGGUCUAGUGCGGCGCAGUGCUAAUGCGCUGUAUCCGAAAGGGUACCGUGGGUUCAAAUCCCACCCUCUCCG
rnacentral:tRNA from 1 species